rnacentral:rRNA from 1 species
UACGUAGGGUGCGAGCGUUGUCCGGAAUUACUGGGCGUAAAGAGCUCGUAGGUGGUUUGUCACGUCGUCUGUUGAAAUUUCGGGGCUCAACCCCGGAGACUGCUUUCGAAACUGGAGAACUAGAGUGUGGGAGAGGAAAGUGGAACUUUGAGUGUAGCGGUGAAAUGCGCAGAUAUCAGGAGGAACACCGAUGGCGAAGGCAGGUCUCUGGGCCACUACUGACGCUGAGAAGCGAAAGCAAUGGGGAGCGAACAGGAUUAGAUACCCU